rnacentral:rRNA from 1 species
GAUGAACGCUGGCGGCGUGCUUAACACAUGCAAGUCGAACGAAGCACCUCUCCCGAAGAUUGACACAGCUUGCUGUAGAUUGAUUCAUUUGAGGUGACUGAGUGGCGGACGGGUGAGUAACGCGUGGGUAACCUGCCUCAUAGAGGGGGACAACAGUUGGAAACGACUGCUAAUACCGCAUAGUAAGAAGAAUUCGCAUGUUUUCUUCUUGAAAGAUUUAUCGCUAUGAGAUGGACCCGCGUCUGAUUAGCUAGUUGGUAAGGUAACGGCUUACCAAGGCGACGAUCAGUAGACGGCUAGAGAGAGUGAACGGCCACAUUGGGACUGAGACACAGCCCAAACUCCUACGGGAGGCAGCAGUGGGGAAUAUUGCACAAUGGGGGAAACCCUGAUGCAGCGACGCCGCGUGAGUGAAGAAGUAUUUCGGUAAGUAAAGCUCUAUCAGCAGGGAAGAUAAUGACGGUACCUGACUAAGAAGCCCCGGCUAACUACGUG